UAAGCGGAGGAAANGAAACUAACAAGGAUUCCCCUAGUAACUGCGAGUGAAGCGGGAAAAGCUCAAAUUUAAAAUCUGGUGGCCUCUGGUCAUCCGAGUUGUAAUUUAGAGAAGCGUCUUCCGCGCUGGACCAUGCACAAGUCUCCUGGAAUGGAGCGUCAUAGAGGGUGAGAAUCCCGUCUUUGACAUGGACUACCAGUACAUUAUGGUGCGCUCUCAAAGAGUCGAGUUGUUUGGGAAUGCAGCUCAAAAUGGGUGGUAAAUGCCAUCUAAAGCUAAAUAUUGGCGAGAGACCGAUAGCGAACAAGUACCGUGAGGGAAAGAUGAAAAGAACUUUGGAAAGAGAGUUAAACAGUACGUGAAAUUGCUGAAAGGGAAACGCUUGAAGUCAGUCACGUUGGCUAGAAAUCAGCCCUGCUCUUGCUCGGUGUACUUUCUGGUUGAUGGGUCAGCAUCAAUUUCGACCAUUGGAUAAAGUCUCUGGGAAUGUGGCAUCUUCGGAUGUGUUAUAGCCCAGGGUCGCAUGCAGUGGUUGGGAUUGAGGAACUCAGCACGCCGCAAGGCCGGGUUUCGACCACGUUCGUGCUUAGGAUGCUGGCAUAAUGGCUUUAAUCGACC
rnacentral:rRNA from 1 species